GAUUUUUCUUUACGACUAGGGUUUCUUCUUCGGCUACCUUACAUAGAAAACGACGGUGAACGUAAUAGUUGGAAAAUUGCGUGAAACAGGAAACAAAAAGGGGCUCAUCGGAGGGGGCUCUGUCGGAUAUCCCCAAUUUUUUACUCACCUGCUAUCUCUUUUGCUCUAAUAUGGCUACAGGGAGGCUCGGAAUCGAAUUUUGAGUGAGUAGAAAAAACAUUUACAUUUUUUUGGCAGUCGAUGGUAGUUUCGGUGUAGCAGCAGCAGUUGGCGGUCGACCUUCUUUUCUAGCAUCUGAUUCUUUUUCUCCGGCAAGUACCGACGGCUAGGGUUUGGGUUCUCCUACGAAGAGGAGUUUAAAUACUCCUCU
rnacentral:lncRNA from 1 species